ACAUGAAGUCGGAAUCGCUAGUAAUCGUGGAUCAGAAUGCCACGGUGAAUACGUUCCCGGGUCUUGUACACACCGCCCGUCACACCAUGGAAGUUGAUUGCUCCAGAAGUAGGUAGCUUAAAAAUGGGCGCUUACCACGGAGUGGUCGAUGACUGGGGUGAAGUCGUAACAAGGUAGCCGUAGGGGAACCUGCGGCUGGAUCACCUCCUUUAAA
rnacentral:rRNA from 1 species